AGCGAACGCUGGCGGCAGGCCUAACACAUGCAAGUCGAACGAACCUUUCGGGGUUAGUGGCGGACGGGUAAGUAACACGUGGGAACGUGCCUUUAGGUUCGGAAUAACUCAGGGAAACUUGUGCUAAUACUGAAUGUGCCCUUCGGGGGAAAGAUUAAUCGCCUUUAGAGCGGCCCGCGUCUGAUUAGCUAGUUGGUUGAGGUAAUGGCUCACCAAGGCGACGAUCAGUAGCUGGUCUGAGAGGAUGAUCAGCCACAUUGGGACUGAGACACGGCCCAAACUCCUACGGGAGGCAGCAGUGGGGAAUCUUGCGCAAUGGGCGAAAGCCUGACGCAGCCAUGCCGCGUGAAUGAUGAAGGUCUUAGGAUUGUAAAAUUCUUUCACCGGGGACGAUAAUGACGGUACCCGGAGAAGAAGCCCCGGCUAACUUCGUG
rnacentral:rRNA from 1 species